GACGACCAUAAGAUGGAUAGGACGGCCCAUCCAUUUACUAAUGCUAAGAUAGGGAGAAAGCAUCCAUCCCAAACAAAUUAUUCAAAUCUCUAGUUAAAUUCUUUUAUAUUCAAGUUACAAUUCAUCAAACACAGAAAUUGAACUAUUACGCGAAGCAAAAAUCCCUUCUUUUCUGGUAUGCAGAUACACUUGAAAUGGAUUAAAG
rnacentral:misc_RNA from 1 species